rnacentral:tRNA from 2 species
GGGCCGGUAGUCUAGCGGAAGGACGCCCGCCUCGCGCGCGGGAGAUCCCGGGUUCGGGGGAGAACCCGCCCAAAAAUCCCGGCCGGUCCA